UACGUAGGGUGCGAGCGUUAAUCGGAAUUACUGGGCGUAAAGCGUGCGCAGGCGGUUUUGUAAGCCAGAUGUGAAAUCCCCGGGCUUAACCUGGGAAUGGCAUUUGGGACUGCAAGGCUGGAGUGUGGCAGAGGAGACUGGAAUUCCUGGUGUAGCGGUGAAAUGCGCAGAUAUCAGGAGGAACACCGAUGGCGAAGGCAGGUCUCUGGGCCACUACUGACGCUGAGAAGCGAAAGCAUGGGGAGCGAACAGG
rnacentral:rRNA from 1 species